GGGUGCGAUCAUACCAGCACUAAUGCACCGGAUCCCAUCAGAACUCCGCAGUUAAGUGUGCUUGGGCGAGAGUAGUACUAGGAUGGGUGACCUCCUGGGAAGUCCUCGUGUUGCAUCCC
rnacentral:rRNA from 1 species